UGCAGUCGAGGGGCAGCAUUUCAGUUUGCUUGCAAACUGGAGAUGGCGACCGGCGCACGGGUGAGUAACACGUAUCCAACCUGCCGAUAACUCGGGGAUAGCCUUUCGAAAGAAAGAUUAAUACCCGAUGGUAUAAUCAGACCGCAUGGUCUUAUUAUUAAAGAAUUUCGGUUAUCGAUGGGGAUGCGUUCCAUUAGGCAGUUGGUGAGGUAACGGCUCACCAAACCUUCGAUGGAUAGGGGUUCUGAGAGGAAGGUCCCCCACAUUGGAACUGAGACACGGUCCAAACUCCUACGGGAGGCAGCAGUGAGGAAUAUUGGUCAAUGGGCGCAGGCCUGAACCAGCCAAGUAGCGUGAAGGAUGACUGCCCUAUGGGUUGUAAACUUCUUUUAUAUGGGAAUAAAGUUUUCCACGUGUGGAAUUUUGUAUGUACCAUAUGAAUAAGGAUCGGCUAACUCCGUGCCAGCAGCCGCGGUAAUACGGAGGAUCCGAGCGUUAUCCGGAUUUAUUGGGUUUAAAGGGAGCGUAGGUGGACAGUUAAGUCAGUUGUGAAAGUUUGCGGCUCAACCGUAAAAUUGCAGUUGAUACUGGCUGUCUUGAGUACAGUAGAGGUGGGCGGAAUUCGUGGUGUAGCGGUGAAAUGCUUAGAUAUCACGAAGAACUCCGAUUGCGAAGGCAGCUCACUGGACUGCAACUGACACUGAUGCUCGAAAGUGUGGGUAUCAAACAGGAUUAGAUACCCUGGUAGUCCACACAGUAAACGAUGAAUACUCGCUGUUUGCGAUAUACAGUAAGCGGCCAAGCGAAAGCAUUAAGUAUUCCACCUGGGGAGUACGCCGGCAACGGUGAAACUCAAAGGAAUUGACGGGGGCCCGCACAAGCGGAGGAACAUGUGGUUUAAUUCGAUGAUACGCGAGGAACCUUACCCGGGCUUAAAUUGCAUUUGAAUAANUNUGGAAACAGGUUAGCCGCAAGGCAAAUGUGAAGGUGCUGCAUGGUUGUCGUCAGCUCGUGCCGUGAGGUGUCGGCUUAAGUGCCAUAACGAGCGCAACCCUUAUCUUUAGUUACUAACAGGUCAUGCUGAGGACUCUAGAGAGACUGCCGUCGUAAGAUGUGAGGAAGGUGGGGAUGACGUCAAAUCAGCACGGCCCUUACGUCCGGGGCUACACACGUGUUACAAUGGGGGGUACAGAAGGCAGCUACCUGGUGACAGGAUGCUAAUCCCAAAAGCCUCUCUCAGUUCGGAUCGAAGUCUGCAACCCGACUUCGUGAAGCUGGAUUCGCUAGUAAUCGCGCAUCAGCCAUGGCGCGGUGAAUACGUUCCCGGGCCUUGUACACACCGCCCGUCAAGCCAUGAAAGCCGGGGGUACCUGAAGUACGUAACCGCAAGGAGC
rnacentral:rRNA from 1 species